rnacentral:lncRNA from 1 species
GGAUUAUUUUCUAAGUAUAUAAUUUAAUUAGGUAGUGGAAUACACUGGAAAGCUUUUGGUUUAAUGUUCUUCAUUUGAGGAAUUUACUCAUUGGUUUCUUGGUUAUAGCCUUCUUCUUCCUCUUCCUCUUCCUCUUCCUCUUCUUCUUCCUCUUCUCCUUCCCUUCCUUCCCCUCUCCCUCUUCCCCCCCUCCUCCUACUUCUUCAUACAUUUAUUUAUUUUACAUCCUGGCUUCAGUUUCUCCGCCAUCAUCGUCUCCUCCCAGUCCCUUCCCACAAACUCCCCUCUUCCCCCUCCUCCCAUCCACUCUUCCUGCCUUUCUUUUCCGGAAGCAGCAGUCCUUUCGAGGACAUCAACCACACAAGGCAAAUCAAGUUGCGGACUGAUGUCAAUGUGGAGACUAGUGACUGCUCAAGGUGCUGAGAAUAAGUGACCGAGGGAUGCUCACCUCUAAAGGAGACAUCAAUGCUAGCCCCUCCGAGGCUUGGGAAACAUCAUGAGAUGGGGGCAGAAAGGAUGUAAGAGCCAGGUGAUGCGAAGAAUGAGGGCUGAGAAAUGGAGCAUGGUCAUUUCAAUCAUGGGUUCAC